GACGAACGCUGGCGGCGUGCUUAACACAUGCAAGUCGAACGGAAAGGCCCUGCUUUUGUGGGGUGCUCGAGUGGCGAACGGGUGAGUAACACGUGAGUAACCUGCCCUUGACUUUGGGAUAACUUCAUGAAACUGGGGCUAAUACCGGAUAGGGGCUCCUGCUGCAUGGUGGGGGUUGGAAAGUUUCGGCGGUUGGGGAUGGACUCGCGGCUUAUCAGCUUGUUGGUGGGGUAGUGGCUUACCAAGGCUUUGACGGGUAGCCGGCCUGAGAGGGUGACCGGCCAAAUUGGGAAUGAGAUACGGCACAGACUCCUACGGGAGGCAGCAGUGGGGAAUAGUGCACAAUGGGCGGAAGCCUGAUGCAGCAACGCCGCGUGCGGGAUGACGGCCUUCGGGUUGUAAACCGCUUUCGCCUGUGACGAAGCGUGAGUGACGGUAAUGGGUAAAGAAGCACCGGCUAACUACGUG
rnacentral:rRNA from 1 species